GUGUAGCAGUGAAAUGCGUANAGAUGUGGAGGAACACCGAUGGCGAACGCAGCCCCCUGGGCCAAUACUGACGCUCAUGCACGAAAGCGUGGGGAGCAAACAGGAUUAGAUACCCUGGUAGUCCACGCCCUAAACGAUGUCUACUGGCUGUUGGGGAUUCAUUKSCUUGGUAACGUAGCUAACGCGUGAAGUUGACCGCCUGGGGAGUACGGUCGCAAGAUUAAAACUCAAAGGAAUUGAC
rnacentral:rRNA from 1 species